rnacentral:tRNA from 1 species
GCUAAGGUGGCAGAGCCUGGUAAUUGCGAAAGGCCUAAGCCCUUUUCCCCAGGGGUUCAAAUCCCCUCCUUCAGCUAUGACCUCUAUCCUCACACAUAUCAUUAACCCCCUAGCAUACAUUGUCCCCGUUCUACUGGCAGUGGCAUUUCUUACACUACUAGAACGAAAAGUAUUAG